UAACAGCUCAAAUUUGAAAUCUGGCUCCUCCGGAGUCCGAGUUGUAAUUUGUAGAAGAUGCUUUGGGAGGUAGGGCCGGCCUAAGUUCCUUGGAACAGGACGUCAUAGAGGGUGAGAAUCCCGUCUGCGGCCGCGGCCUACGCCCGUGUAAAGCUCUUUCGACGAGUCGAGUUGUUUGGGAAUGCAGCUCAAAAUGGGUGGUAAAUUUCAUCUAAAGCUAAAUAUUGGCCAGAGACCGAUAGCGAACAAGUAGAGUGAUCGAAAGAUGAAAAGCACUUUGGAAAGAGAGUUAAACAGUACGUGAAAUUGUUGAAAGGGAAGCGCUUGCACCCAGACUUGGGCGUCGUGGAUCAUCCGAGGUUCUCCUCGGUGCACUCGACGACGCGCAGGCCAGCAUCGGUUUGGGUGGUUGGAGAAAGACCCUAGGAACGUAGCUCCCUUCGGGGCGUGUUAUAGCCUAGGGUGCAAUGCAGCCUACCCGGACCGAGGACCGCGCCUUCGGGCUAGGAUGCUGGCGUAAUGGUUGUAAGCGACCCG
rnacentral:rRNA from 1 species